UGGGGAAUAUUGGACAAUGGGCGCAAGCCUGAUCCAGCCAUGCCGCGUGGAUGAUGAAGGCCCUAGGGUUGUAAAACUCUUUCGUCGGGGACGAUAAUGACGGUACCCGAAGAAGAAGCUCCGGCUAACUUCGUGCCAGCAGCCGCGGUAAUACGAAGGGAGCUAGCGUUGUUCGGAAUCACUGGGCGUAAAGCGCACGUAGGCGGAUAGUUAAGUCAGGGGUGAAAUCCUGGGGCUCAACCCCAGAACUGCCUUUGAUACUGGCUGUCUCGAGGUCGAGAGAGGUUGGUGGAAUUCCUAGUGUAGAGGUGAAAUUCGUAGAUAUUAGGAAGAACACCAGUGGCGAAGGCGGCCAACUGGCUCGAUACUGACGCUGAGGUGCGAAAGCGUGGGGAGCAAACAGGAUUAGAUACCCUCGUAGUCCCUGAGCGGGCUGGCAAGGCGCAU
rnacentral:rRNA from 1 species